rnacentral:tRNA from 1 species
GAGUGUAUAGCUCAGUGGUAGAGCACGUGCUUAGCAUGCACAAGGUCCUGGGUUCAAUCCCCCGUACCUCCA